rnacentral:rRNA from 1 species
GACGAACGCUGGCGGCGUGCCUAAUACAUGCAAGUAGAACGCUGAAGGAGGAGCUUGCUUCUCUGGAUGAGUUGCGAACGGGUGAGUAACGCGUAGGUAACCUGCCUGGUAGCGGGGGAUAACUAUUGGAAACGAUAGCUAAUACCGCAUAAUAGUAGAUGUUGCAUGACAUUUGCUUAAAAGGUGCAAUUGCAUCACUACCAGAUGGACCUGCGUUGUAUUAGCUAGUUGGUGGGGUAACGGCUCACCAAGGCGACGAUACAUAGCCGACCUGAGAGGGUGAUCGGCCACACUGGGACUGAGACACGGCCCAGACUCCUACGGGAGGCAGCAGUAGGGAAUCUUCGGCAAUGGACGGAAGUCUGACCGAGCAACGCCGCGUGAGUGAAGAAGGUGUUCGGAUCGUAAAGCUCUGUUGUAAGAGAAGAACGAGUGUGAGAGUGGAAAGUUCACACUGUGACGGUAUCUUACCAGAAAGGGACGGCUAACUACGU